ACGCACGCUGGCGGCGUGCUUAACACAUGCAAGUCGCACGGAAAGGCCCUGCUUUUGUGGGGUGCUCGAGUGGCGAACGGGUGAGUAACACGUGAGUAACCUGCCCUUGACUUUGGGAUAACUUCAGGAAACUGGGGCUAAUACCGGAUAGGAGCUCCUGCUGCAUGGUGGGGGUUGGAAAGUUUCGGCGGUUGGGGAUGGACUCGCGGCUUAUCAGCUUGUUGGUGGGGUAGUGGCUUACCAAGGCUUUGACGGGUAGCCGGCCUGAGAGGGACCGGCCACAUUGGGACUGAGAUACGGCCCAGACUCCUACGGGAGGCAGCAGUGGGGAAUAUUGCACAAUGGGCGGAAGCCUGAUGCAGCAACGCCGCGUGCGGGAUGACGGCCUUCGGGUUGUAAACCGCUUUCGCCUGUGACGAAGCGUGAGUGACGGUAAUGGGUAAAGAAGCACCGGCUAACUACGUG
rnacentral:rRNA from 1 species